UCCUCCGACCUUGCUUCCCUCCCGGUUUGUCAUGUGGAGAAACAGGAAGGAGUGUUCAUUAACAAGAAUGGCCUGGGCCACUCACACCCAAGGCAAUAUCAGAUCUUUACCUCUCCUGGGUCUGGGAAGAGGUUCAAAGAUCAAGGACAAGCU
rfam:Tupaia chinensis contig204797, whole genome shotgun sequence.